GAUGAACGCUAGCGGCAGGCCUAAUACAUGCAAGUCGGACGGGAUCCAUUGAUAGCUUGCUAUCAAUGGUGAGAGUGGCGCACGGGUGCGUAACGCGUGAGCAACCUGCCUCCAUCAGGGGGAUAGCCUCUCGAAAGAGAGAUUAACACCGCAUAAUAUCAACAGUUCGCAUGUUCAGUUGAUUAAAUAUUUAUAGGAUGGAGAUGGGCUCGCGUGACAUUAGCUAGUUGGUAGGGUAACGGCUUACCAAGGCGACGAUGUCUAGGGGCUCUGAGAGGAGAAUCCCCCACACUGGUACUGAGACACGGACCAGACUCCUACGGGAGGCAGCAGUAAGGAAUAGUGGUCAAGGGGCGGAAGCCUGAACCAGCCAUGCCGCGUGCAGGAUGACUGCCCUAUGGGUUGUAAACUGCUUUUGUCCAGGAAUAAACCUAAAUACGAGUAUUUAGCUGAAUGUACUGGAAGAAUAAGGAUCGGCUAACUCCGUG
rnacentral:rRNA from 1 species